rfam:Bombyx mori DNA, contig: Bm_scaf96_contig35321, strain: p50T/Dazao, build 2, whole genome shotgun sequence.
UUAACACAAAUUUGUAUAGAUUGGAACAUUUGCCCACAUUUGCCGCUAGUGGCGGUGUUCCAUCUACAUACAAAUAUGAGUUA